ensembl:lncRNA
UGACAGCCAGGCUGCUGGAUUCAUUUCAAAGUGACUCAGUGGGGCAGAGAACCAUUAAUAUACUUAUCAUCACAGGUAGACUAUUUUGUUUCUGAGAUUACUCCAAAUUUUACACAGAUGAUAAGUAGGUAGUGAAAAAAAUCCAAUUAGAAAAUGGGUGAAAGACCUGCCGAGACUUUUCACCAAAGAGGAUAUACAGAUGGUGAAUAAGGAGGGAAGAUUCGCCCUGAGCUAACAUCUGUGCCAAUCUUCCUCUAUUUUGUACGCGAGUUGCCGCAUAGCAUGGCUGCCGAUGAGUGGUGCAGGCCCUGACAACCUCCAUUCUACUUUCUGUAUCUAUGAAUUUGAUUACUCGAGAUACUUCAUCUAAGUGGAAUCACACAGUAUUUUUUUUGUGACUGGCUUAUUUUACUUAGCAUAAUGUUCUCAAGGUUCGUCCAUGUUGUAGCAUGUGCCAGAAUUUCUUUUCUUUUUAAGGCUGAAUAAUAUUCCAUUGUAUGUGUGUUUUGUUGAUCCAUUCAUCAGUUGCUUCAUACUUGGGUUGCUUCCACCUUUUGGCUACUGUGAAUAAUGCUGCUUUGAACAUGAGUGUACAAAUAUCUCUUCGAGACCCAGAGGUGGAAUUGCUAGAUCGUAUAAUAAUUCUAUUUUUAAUUAUUUGAGGAACUGCCAUACUGUUUUCCAUAGCAACUUAACCAUUUUACAUUCCCAUCAACAGUUUACAGGGUUUCAAUUUCUCUACACCCUUGCCAACACGUUUUUUUUUAAUAGUAGCCACCGCUGUGAUUUUGAUUUUGAUUUCCUUAAUGAUUAGUGAUGUUGAGCAUCUUUUCAUGUGCUUGUUGGCCAUUUGUAUAUCAUCUUUGGAGAAAUGCCUAUUCAAACCUUUGCCCAUUUUUUUAAUUGAGGUUUCUUUUUUGUUGUUGUUAUUGAGUUGUAGGAGUUCUUUAUAUAUUCUAAAUAUUGACCCUUUAUCAGAUAUAUGAUUUGCCAAUAAUUUCUCUCAUGUUGUAGGGUUUUUUACUCUGUUGAUUGUGUCCUUUGGUGCACAGAAGUUUUUAAUUUUGAUGUAGUACAAUUUACCUAGUUUUACUUUUGUUACCUGUGCUUUUAGUGUCAUAUCCAAGAAAUAAUUGCCAAAUCCAAUGUCAUGAAGCUUUUGUCCUAUGAUUUCUUCUAAGAGUUUUAUCUCUUAUGUUUAGGGCUUUGAUUUGUUUUGAGUUAAUUUUUGUUUAUGGUGUAAUGUAACGGUCCAACUUCCUUCUUUUGUAUAUGGAUAUCCAAUUUUCCCAAUACCAUUUGUUGAACUUCCCAUUAUUUCUUAAAUGGCAUUAUUUGACUCUGUAACCUACAAGACAUUAAAAUACAAAAAGCACUUAAGGUGCAUUAAAAUCUAUGAACCAGUAAGAAUCAUGGUGAUGCAACUGUAAGCCAAAUGAAUUUCUUCUGAGGAGAAAAGGCUGUGGCCAGCCUGUGAGGCAAAAGUACUAAGCAGGAAAUGAAACUAUAAAAUAAAAGGUCAGUCUUUACCUAAAAGCAGCUUAGAGAGUAUUUCCAGUGACACAGCAGCCUCUCAAUACACCAUAUAUCAUCUCUAUACAUUAAAGGUACUAUAUAUUGUCCAAGAAAGAUUAACCUAACAACCAAAUACAAACAAGAAAAGAUGCAUCUUAAUUAUCUAAUUACCGUUCAGGAUCCCAGUGAUUUUGGAACCUAGUGAAACAUCUCAGAUUAAUGUUGCUAUAAGUUGGUUUUGGUUAUAUUACUAGGUGCUUCAUUCCCAUUGAGUCAUUAUAAUCUGUUAAUUAAAAGGAUAUCUACUUACAGCUUCUUUUCAAAGUCUUAGUGAACUUUUGUUCCAGGACUGUCUCUAGGAUUAAGAUGCUUUCUGCUUUUAGUUUCAUUUGUUUCCACAACAUUAACUGUACAUAUAGCAUAACCGAUGUCUCUAAUAGAAAAAGUUAAAUUCUGUUUAGAAUAGUGUUUAAUAAAAUUGAAUAUACGUAUAAAGUUUUUAGAGAUGUUUAUUUUGAAAUUUUACAAUAAAAAUUCUGCUACUCAAAAGAUUAAGCUUCAGUUUUCUAGACAUUUUAUAGUUCCUGAAAACAGCUGGAUAAAAGAGAUUUUAGAAUGAAUCAGAGCCUGGUACAAACCGACAUCAUGACUCAGAAUACAAGUGAACAGAAAUCUAUGCGUCUACUUAGCAGACUAGAAAGUUACUAGCUGGUAAAAUAAGCUAAAACUCCAUGAAAUUAAAAUGAAUGCUUUCUGCAGUCACAAUAAAGUUCUGGUAACAUUUUUUAGGUUCUUCUAACAUAGACACAUGCUCAAUAGCACAAACAAAUUUCAAUCAAAUAAGAAGAGCUUAAGUGUAGAAAAUAUACAAUCAACCCAGUUUACUCCUUCCUGUACCACAGGGCAUAGCUACAUG